AUUGAACGCUGGCGGCAUGCCUUACACAUGCAAGUCGAACGGCAGCACGGGUGCUUGCACCUGGUGGCGAGUGGCGAACGGGUGAGUAAUACAUCGGAACAUGUCCUGUAGUUGGGGAUAGCCCGGCGAAAGCCGGAUUAAUACCGCAUACGAUCUACGGAUGAAAGCGGGGGACCUUCGGGCCUCGCGCUAUCGGGUUGGCCGAUGGCUGAUUAGCUAGUUGGUGGGGUAAAGGCCUACCAAGGCGACGAUCAGUAGCUGGUCUGAGAGGACGACCAGCCACACUGGGACUGAGACACGGCCCAGACUCCUACGGGAGGCAGCAGUGGGGAAUUUUGGACAAUGGGCGAAAGCAUGAUCCAGCAAUGCCGCGUGUGUGAAGAAGGCCUUCGGGUUGUAAAGCACUUUUGUCCGGAAAGAAAUCCUUGGCCCUAAUACGGUCGGGGGAUGACGGUACCGGAAGAAUAAGCACCGGCUAACUACGUG
rnacentral:rRNA from 1 species